UAAGUACAAAGAGCAAUCAUCUAUCUUCAACUACUCAUACGCAACAUACACGUCUUUAAUGGUUGGCAAUUUCAUACAACAAAGUGAGAUUUUUGAUAGCAAGACGUCUUGAUAACAAACAAAAGAAAAGACAAGCAGUUAAAGCUCAAAGUAUAACGUAGCUGAACAAUAAAAGUACAAAUGUUAUAUAUAUAAAAAAAGAAAAAAUACCUAUCUUUUAUUAGAAAUAUUGUAAACUUUGAAUCAAACAAAUUAAAUCUUCACAUUAAUAAAUAAUUUUUUUACAAUAAUAUCCAAGAUAAUAUAUUACAAAUACACGACUAAAGUCUUAUUACAAAAUGGAUUAUUGGACGGUCUCCGUUUUUGUUAACAUUGUCUGUUGAUAAGGUGACAGUGACGGUUUCUGCAAAUUUAGUUUGUGAUAACCCGUGUUUGGUGUUCUUGAAUUUGGAGACUGCCUUAAAGCCGAGGUAUUCGUUAGGGGCAAAGAUAGAUGAUAUGGGUUUGGUUCCUAGAGUGAAGGGUCCUUCAUUGUUAAGAGCAAUCAGGAUGACAAAAAAGCGGUUUAUCAAGGCCUUUAUAAGUUGCCAUCCAGAAGAUGUGGCUCUUGAAUUCAUGGAGUGCUAUAGAAGUGUUAAACGUGUUAGAAGGUUGGCAGAAUCAUCCAAGAAGCAAAUAUGCAAAGGAUUUCCCUUUUGAACAUAUGUUCCAAUCCAACAGAUACAUGAUUUCCCGUUAUCAUUUGAGUCUGUUUGUUAUUGAAUUCUUUCAUUUUUCAUCGACAAAAAGUACUUGAUUGGGAUGUUUGAUUGUUGGUUUAAAGUAUAGCCAAUACGAAUGACAUUCUGUUGUACAAUUAGAUGUAGGUUAAUUGUAGAUGAAUUGGAGUAUAGCUGAAAUUACCUUAGCUUGUUAAAUACUAGUAAGAUUAAUAAAGUUCAUAAGUCUCUGGAUUUGCUGAGUUUAUCCAUGUCUUUUCUUGCACUUUUGAGUACCCAGAGUAUAUAGAGUGGUUGGGAUCCGUUAACUUUAAGCUUUGCUUAUGGCGUAGAAGACUUGAAGCUCCUAUCUUUUCUGCAGCAUCAUUUUGAUGGAGUUCACUGGUAUUUAUAUAAUUACAGCUGUAGUUUCCUUUGAAAGGUGUCAACAACUUUAUUAGCUGGAGUUAUCAGCUCAUACCCGGACAAUCAAACAGGUAAUGGUAAUCCCUGAAGAAAAAUUAUUCACUUAAGUGUGCUUACUGUAAGUAUCAUACCUAAUAUUUUGUACUAAUAAAUAAGAUGAGACCUGGUUUUAGUAUAAAGUUAAUGUCAACUUAUAACUUGGCUAACCGGGCGGGACUGUAGUAUUGACUUCCAUAUCUCUGCUUUUGGGCGAUCUAGUAAAUCUGUGAAGAAAAUUACUGAAUUGGCUUAGACGCAUGCAAUUGCCACAGGCUACAGCUCAAUGGAUAUUGGAUUAAAAUCAAACACUGAUGAUACUUCUUAUCGUGAAAGUAACUUUGCUUUAUUCUAUUUGUUAGAUGAUUAACUCUAAUAUUUUGGGUGAUUAUGCUUGUAUGAGGAGUGCAGAGUGUUAGGGUUUUUGCCCUGAUUUUCUUACUAUAUUUAAGUUUUAUUUUUUCUUAGAAGGAAAAUAAAAGUUACCAUAAUUACUUUUAUUUUUUCUGAAAGAAAAAAAUAUAAUUCUUUUCCAUAUUUGGCUAAACUCUUUGUCCACAAUAACCUCUAAAUCAGAAUACAAAAUUAGGUCGAGACAUGCCCCGACCAUGAAAAUAGAACUCUUUAAUUCCCAAAA